GAUGAAGAACGUAGCGAAAUGCGAUAAGUAAUGUGAAUUGCAGAAUUCAGUGAAUCAUCGAAUCUUUGAACGCACAUUGCGCCCCCUGGUAUUCCGGGGGGCAUGCCUGUUCGAGCGUCAUUUCACCACUCAAGCCUCGCUUGGUAUUGGGCAACGCGGUCCGCCGCGUGCCUCAAAUCGUCCGGCUGGGUCUUCUGUCCCCUAAGCGUUGUGGAAACUAUUCGCUAAAGGGUGUUCGGGAGGCUACGCCGUAAAAAAACCCCAUUUCUAAGGUUGACCUCGGAUCAGGUAGGGAUACCCGCUGAACUUAAGCAUAUCAAUAAGCGGAGGA
rnacentral:misc_RNA from 1 species